AAGGUGCUGCAUGGUUGUCGUCAGCUCGUGCCGUGAGGUGUCGGGUUAAGUCCCAUAACGAGCGCAACCCUUACCGUUAGUUACCAUCAGGUUAAGCUGGGGACUCUAGCGGGACUGCCACCGUAAGGUGAGAGGAAGGUGGGGAUGACGUCAAAUCAGCACGGCCCUUAUGUCCAGGGCUACACACGUGUUACAAUGGCCGGUACAAAGGGCAGCUACUUCGCGAGAAGAUGCUAAUCUCGAAAGCCGGUCUCAGUUCGGAUCGAAGUCUGCAACCCGACUUCGUGAAGCUGGAUUCGCUAGUAAUCGCGCAUCAGCCAUGGCGCGGUGAAUACGUUCCCGGGCCUU
rnacentral:rRNA from 1 species